UCACCGAGUUGUUGUGUGCGCAACGCUGA
rnacentral:piRNA from 1 species